rfam:Prunus persica cultivar Lovell chromosome G1, whole genome shotgun sequence.
AUAAAAGCAGGGCUUAGUUGCCUUAUGUGAACUAGGCUCCCGUAUAUUUCAGGAAUAUAAACUGCAUUGUUUUUGGGUGAGCCUCUGUACUUGCAUAUGUUGCACGUGACUGAAGGUUCAGUAAAUAAUGGAACAUUG